rnacentral:piRNA from 1 species
UGUCUACACGGGCCUGUGGAUUAGUAGU